AACCCAUGUUGAGGACAUUUCCACAGGAGCUCUUUGAACGUAUCCCAUGUCUCAAAAAGAGACUCCAAUUCCAUUUGCACAAAGGAGGAAAUUUUAUUCCUGAACUU